rnacentral:rRNA from 1 species
UCCAGACUCCUACGGGAGGCAGCAGUGGGGAAUAUUGCACAAUGGGGGAAACCCUGAUGCAGCGACGCCGCGUGAGCGAAGAAGUACCUCGGUAUGUAAAGCUCUAUCAGCAGGGAAGAAGAUGACGGUACCUGACCAAGAAGCUCCGGCUAAAUACGUGCCAGCAGCCGCGGUAAUACGUAUGGAGCAAGCGUUAUCCGGAUUUACUGGGUGUAAAGGGGGCGCAGACGGCAGCGCAAGCCAGGAGUGAAAGCCCGGGGCCCAACCCCGGGACUGCUCUUGGAACUGCGCGGCUGGAGUGCAGGAGGGGCAGGCGGAAUUCCUGGUGUAGCGGUGAAAUGCGUAGAUAUCAGGAGGAACACCGGUGGCGAAGGCGGCCUGCUGGACUGCGACUGACGCUGAGGCGCGAAAGCGUGGGGAGCAAACAGGAUUAGAUACCCCUGUACA